rnacentral:rRNA from 1 species
UACAGAGGUCCCAAGCGUUGUUCGGAUUCACUGGGCGUAAAGGGUGCGUAGGUGGCGGAGUAAGUUCGAUGUGAAAGCUCCGAGCUCAACUCGGAAACGGCAUUGAAUACUAUUCUGCUCGAGGGUCGGAGGGGAGACUGGAAUUCUCGGUGUAGCAGUGAAAUGCGUAGAUAUCGAGAGGAACACCAGUGGCGAAGGCGAGUCUCUGGACGACUCCUGACACUGAGGCACGAAAGCUAGGGGAGCAAACAGG